ACUUAUCUUCAAAUCUGGGAUUUUGGAGCCAACAUUAGAGCUUGACCACUAAUUUCAAACUACAGCCUUUUAAAGUUCUGAAGUUUGAGGGAACCAGAAGUGGAAGUGUCAAAACUCUCACCAGGAAGCUUGUUACGAGAUGUUCUACCCAAGCUGGCACCCUCAGGUGGGUCCAGUGCAAUCACAAGAGUCCUUAAAAGUAGAAGGGGAGGCAGAAGAAAGAGAGAGUCAUGACUAUGGAGUGAUGACCAGGGACAUGCACCAUUGCUGGCUUUGAAGAUGCAGCAAGGGAGCCAUGAGCCAAGGAAUGUGGGCAGCCUCUAGAACCUGGAAAGGCACGGAAAAGGAUUCCCCUGGAGCUGCCAAAAAAGAAUGUACCCUUGCAUAUACCUUCAUUUCAGUCCAGUGAGGCCCAUUUUGAACCUCUAACCAAUAGAACUGAAGAUAAUAAAUGUGUGUUGUUUUGAGUCACUGAGUAUAUGGUUAUUUUUUACAGCAGCAAUAGAAACAAUAACACAGGAAAGAAAUGCUCUCUUUCUUGCUCAUCAUUUCAGCCCAAGGUGUGCAUUAAUCCCUGAAAUGUGGUCAGUGGCUCAACAGCUACUCAUUGGAUGGGAGAAUAGAAUGGCAGGGCCAGGAAGGACUCUUAGGUGACACUCUGUAACAGUCAGUGUGAUUCAGAGUGAUGCUCACAGCCUUCCUCCCGAAAUCCUGCCCAUGAAGAUGAUUCUCCACCAGGUUCCCACUUGUGAAGUUAUUCCUGAAGUUAUUCUGUCUGAAACUUCCCCUUCAUUGACAAUUCAACAUCUCUGCACUACAGUCAUCUUCCCUGAUCUACAAUCAGCAAACAAAGAAAAGGAACCCAGGCAGAAGAGUAAAGUGAACAGAAAAGAAGGACCAGAUGAUAAGGCUGGUCAUGAUAGAAGCGUACUUAGAAGCUUGCUCUUGGCUGAAAGAGAUGAGGCUCCCCACUUAGGACAGAGGAAGGAAAUGGGGCCAGUGGACACUGCCAGCUGCCCAAUACCGCCUCCACGAUUUUAUUUAUUUGAGAGAGAGAAUACACAUGGGGCAGGGGGUAGGGGCAGAGGAAGAAGCAGAAGAAGAUGA
rnacentral:lncRNA from 1 species